CUGGCAUUUAGUAAGCACCUAGCUACAAUUAUUAUCAUUUCCACUAUUCAUCUUUUGGUAGAUACUAUGCUCAUGGUACCAUAGCAGAAGACAAGAACACAACUCCGAAGGGCUGAUCUGGUAGACUCCAAGCCAACAAAGUGCCAAAUGACCAUUACAGGAUUCAAUCCUUUUUCUAGCAUUUCUCUAGAAAUGUCAUAUAGGACAUAGUCACUAAGUUUCAUUAGCUUCCAAUUUGCUGGGCCGAAUAAUGGUGAUUAGGGAAGAAAGCAAUCAAAGGGGGUCCCAUACAUCUCUCCCUUCCACCAACUCUCAGGCACACCCUAUACUUCUGUCCCUCCUCAGCCCCCAGCACCACCUCCCCAUCCCUGCCUGAAAUUGGCUUCAAUAUGGCUCAUCCGGGAUCAGAAAGAAGGACAUUUUAUUUCAGUUCCUUCCAAUGGGUCUCUGCCUUGGGAGGUGGGAUUUUAUCAACCCAUGAAUUGUGGCCCUCAGGGGACCCGUAAUAUUUAUAACCACAGCUUUUGGUGUGGAGUUGCUGAAGCCAGCAAUUUGUUAGGAAGACAUAACAGACAUAACAGAACUGAAAGCUGCUAAAUAACAGCUCUCCUGCCCUCUCGUCUAGGUGCCCAGGAACUUCAGGAUCCAGGGGAUGAUUUUAUUGCCUGUGUUUCUGCCUGCUAAAAGGAAACUUAAGCAAGAUAGUAAACUGACAGGAUGCACGUGGAAACCACGGAAGAUAGGGAAUCCCUGUCUGCUACAUGAAUAACACCAUGGCCUAAGGACUGGAAGAUGUGCCACUACCACUGAGUGAUUCUGUUCAAGAUCUUGCCCUCCAUCUCCGCCUGAAGUGUUCAGGCCCCCUCCUGCUCCAGCCUCAUGGAUGACAUGCCUUGGCCCCAGAGUGUCGGUCCCCUUCACCUGACACAGCCUUGACCAUCCAUUACCUGCUCUGCAGGGGCAGAACUUAGCUUCAGAACCUGCUAUGAUCUGCCUCUCUCCUGGUCUCUGGGGGUAUCAGUAGCGUGUUAGUGGAACUGUAUUUCUCCUUGUGCCGGGAUUUCUCAACCUCAUCACUGUUGCCAGAUAAUUCUCUGUUAUGGGGGACUAUGUUGUGUAUUGUAGGAUGUUUAACAGCGUCCCUGGCCCCUACUCACUAAAUGCCAGUAGCACCAGUCCCUAGUUGUGACAAUCAAAAUUUCUCCAGACAUUAUCAAACAUCCUCUGGGUGUCAAGGAGGGGACAAAAAUUGUCCCCAGUUCAGAACCACUGCCUCAUUCUACCUUUUUUUUCUGAUCAUUUUCUUCUAAGAUGAAAUUAAACUAAAAUACAAAAGACAUAGUUUGGAUGUGUGUCUCUGCCCAAAUCUCCAGUGUCGGAGUUGAGGCCUGGUGGUAGGUGAUUGGAUCAUGAGGGCGAAUUUUGCAUGAGCAAUUUAGUACCAUCCCCUUGGUACUAUCUUCAUAAUAGUGAGCGAGUUCUUAUGAAAUCUGGUCAUUUAGUAGUGUGUAGCACCUCCUUUCUCUCUCCCUUGAUCCCGCUAUGGCCAUGUGAGGUGCUACUCCCACUUCACCUUCUGCCAUGACUGUAAGUUUCCUGAGGCCUCCCCAGAAGCCAAGCAGAUACCAGCAUCAUGAUGCUUCCUUGUACAGCCUGCAGAAUUGUGAACCAAUUAAACCUCUUUGCUUUAUAAAUUACCCAGUCUCCAAUAUUUCUCUGUAGUAAUGUGAGAACAGCCUAAUACAACAAGAGAUGAAGUCUCCUUCCAGUAAAAUCAUUUCGCAAGGUCUCCGACAUAUGUAAGCAUGAGCUAAGGGCAAUGUCCUCUUAGUACCUUCUUGGAGACCUCCGCUGGAGGUAAGUGCUCCUUCCUGAAAAUUUUUACAGCACUUUGUACCUCUCAUCACAUUACCUUUCUGUUAUAAUGAAAGUUCCUAUGUUAUAAGCAUCAAUAUCAUCAAUCUUUAAGUCCUUGGAGAACCUAGAACUAGGCCUGAAACAUGAUCACACAAUGAUGUACUGUUUGGCCAGCACAGAUUCCAUCCCCAAUCCCCACUCCUGUUGGUUCUUGUUGGAAACAGGCUACUGGGGACAAGUGACCCUGGUGAGCAUCUCAUUUAGGCUGUGAGUACCUUGCAUUCAGGUGCUCUGUUCCAUUCAUGUCUCUUAUUCCCAGAUCUCACACAGGCCUGGUCCAGAUGUGUUUUCAUCUGUCUUCCUUCCAUUUCAGUUCAGUAGGUCAGGGGUGCGGGCUAAGGAGUAAAAUUCCUCCACAAUUAUUUCUUGAAUUAAUGUGUCCCUCCGGUGUGCUAGCCCCUUUGACAUCCCUUUUCUUCUUCGUUACUCCCUUAGAGCUCCAUAAAACCUCCACCUGCCAGAAACAAGCAGCUGUAUCUCCACGGAGCCAGAAUCCAACCGUUUCUCAGAAGUUUGCUUUGCGUUGUGGGCCAGUCAGCACCAAUUAUUAAAAAAACAUUUUUCAGCAAAAUCUAGAGCAAUGAUGUUCCCAGCCCACUGUCAGGGUUGCCUCACAAUAAAGCCUUCCUAUUGGCAGGGGAGAGAAAAUGAGAAACAUGGAAAUUUAAUAUCUUUGCAUUAUGCAGAUCUGAUUUAAUCAGUGAUGAGGGUGAAGUGCAAUAAAAACUAUAGUUUCAUUAUGUUUAUGACUUUCAGACUGUAUGUCAAUUAUUUUGUUACCAUGGCCACCAGCGGUAACAGCCUCCAUACGAUUGUUUCCCCACAGAGGCUGAACAGGAGGAAAGGGAUAUGAAACAGGAAUGAAUUUCCCAUUUUAUGCCCUUUUCCUGUGUUGGAGGUUUUGGAAAGGAGUAAAUCAAGUUUCAAGAGUCAUGUAGAGUCCUCUUUGAAAAAGAGCCAGAGAGUGGGAAAAAAAAGGAGAGAGGCUGUCUGUCUUCUGGUUUUCACUUCUUUCAAGACAACUGUUAGAGACCCUUACCUUCCAGGGGCAGCCAGGAAUAUUACUACAUGUUAAGCAGUUGAGCUACAGAUGUGAACGAAAAGAGCCUUCUGUUGCCCAAUCCUCUCUCCAUGGUUUGCCAACAUGAUGAUCAGCCAAAACUUUACUCUCUGCUCUUCUCAAGAACUGCCA
rnacentral:lncRNA from 10 species